rnacentral:misc_RNA from 1 species
GAUGAAGAACGUAGCGAAAUGCGAUAAGUAAUGCGAAUUGCAGAAUUCAGUGAAUCAUCGAAUCUUUGAACGCACAUUGCGCCCGCCAGUAUUCUGGCGGGCAUGCCUGUCCGAGCGUCAUUUCAACCCUCGAGCCCCUUUGGGGGAUCGGUGUUGGGGACCGGGUGCUGCCCGUAGCAAUCUUGUUGCGGGUGGCGGCCGCCCCCUAAAUUCAGUGGCGGUCCCGCCGCAGCCUCUCCGUGCGUAGUAGCAUUUGCUCACGCUUCGCAAGGGAGAGAGCGGCGUGGCUAUGCCGUAAAACAACCCAACUUUCUGAAAUGUUGACCUCGGAUCAGGUAGGACUACCCGCUGAACUUAAGCAUAUCAAUAAGCGGAGGA